GCAGCCUUUGGAUGAAGACAUAGAACUCUCAGCUCCUCCUGCGUCAUGCCUGCCUGGAUACUGCCAUGCUCCCUCUUUGAUGAUAAUGGACUGAACCUCUGAACCUUGACAGAUCCUAUGAGGUUUGUAGGCUCACACUCAAGACAACAGAGGCCAGGCAUCGUGAAUCACAUCAUAUUAGCCAGAUGGUGUCCUUAAUGAUGGAUUCUGUUCUCUCCUGCUGGUGGAUGGAUCUCCCCAGACCCCAUCCGCGGUGUAUCUGACAUCACUUCCCCAGAGACGCCAGUGUGUACAGACCUAGCUCCUGGGUCUGGAACUUGGCAGAGGUACCUACUACCAAUUUUUGGAAGAACUGUGCUGGUUCCCCGGGCAGAAUCAAACCCAGAGCCAGAAGAAGAAUGCCCUUAGAGAAGGAAAAGUCUGCAUCUCGGGUGGCCCUUCUCCCUUAGGGUUCAGCAGGAUCCUGCCACCCACUGUGUAGACUUACUGGGACUGUGAGCCCUUCCAGUUGCAGGGAGGUCUUAGGGAAACAUAGGGGAUGGGCCUGGCACAAGGACAGUUGUACAUAGCAGCCUGAAGCAGUGCACACAUGAUAGUAUCUGCAGAACACCUA
rnacentral:lncRNA from 1 species